ACGGAAAGCAAACACAGCUCACUUCUUUGGGGAAGGUGUCGGCAGCUUAAGCAAGAUCACAUCGCUCACCUGAAGAUCCUAAAGGGAACACACCCUGUAACCAGUACCCAGCUCAAGAAGCAGAACUGCUAUUCUCCCAGAAGCCUCCAUAAUUUCCUGUUGCAGCCACCAGCUCCUCCUCUCAUCCUGUCUAUGCUCAGUGAGAUCGGAAAGCUUUCUCGGGUGUGUUUUACAUCUGGGAGGAAGAGAAAGACAAGAAGCCUGCUGAUUCAGUAGUGGUCACUAUCAUCGUCAUCAUCAUCAUCAUCGUCAUUUUCACCAUCAUUUUUGUUUGUGGGGAGGUACGGAAGAGUAUAAAGCACGGCUCCUGCCUGUAAGAAAUUCACAACUUACUUGGUUAGACAAAUUCAUUCAUUCAUUCACAUAUUCAUCCAAUAAUGCCUUCAUUCUGAAAACUUUUAUUCAACUCUUGUUAUGUUGUCGAUAAUUAUUGGAGAUCCAAGGGAAUACCCCAAAAGUUAUAAGGCAUAAUUCCUGCUGGUAAGAAAAUGUACAGUCUAGGUGGGAAGAUAAGUUUGUUCACUCAUUCCUUCACUCAGAUAUUCAUCUAAUAAUGCCUUCAUACUACAGGCUUUUCUCGAGCUCCUGUUAAAUUCCAGAUAAUUACCGGAGACCCAAAUGUAUACUCCCUCCCCUGGACGGGUGUUAGGAGAAGGCCUCACAGAGAAGAGAGCCUUUGCUCAGUCUUAAAGGAUGAACAGGAAUGUACGUGGAGGGCAGACUAGAAAGAGGAUGCUUUGUUCAGGCCAAGCAAGCAGCAGGUGCCAAGAGGAAGAGUCAGGAAAGGCGUGGCUGUCCAGGGAAGUCCGUCUGGGGAGUCCAGUGCAGCCGGAACACGGAGGUGAGGGUGGAAGAAGCUGGAGGGAGGAAGGUUGGGACAGACUGGGCUGCAAGGCACCUUUUCCUCCAGGCAGCUAGGCACAGGGAGUGACAUGACGAGCUAUGGUUUUUUAGGAAGACCAUUCCGAUUGCUAUGCAGAGAAUGAGACUGGCAGGGGGGCAAGUCUGUGUGAUCCUUCCAGAAAUGACACAGAGCAAAUCACAUGGAAUGCACAGUGGAACCGCCUACCUCUAGACUACCUGAUACGUGAGCAGGAUAAAGCCCAGCUUCUUUAGUUUAGGGAUGCACAUAGGGCUUUCUGAUAUGGGUUCAUCAUGACACUAUUAAAUCUAGCCCUCCAGAGAGGAUAGGGCUAAAGAUUGGGGUUUUGGAGCCAUGGGUGUUUAGAUGGAAGUGGAAGUUGUAAUAUCAGGUGUUAUGGGAGCACAGAGGAGGAGACAGACCUAGAAACACAACUUGAUAAUAAUGUGGUGAGAGGUAAAGUUAUAAACGGGGCAUGGAGGGGCAUGCUUCUUCCCACACCUGAUAUUCCCUUGCAUGAGAAAUUUUUUUUUUAAGAAUUUCUGAGAAACACCCUGGCAUGUGCCCUGUUCUGCCCCUGCAGAGGUAGGGUGGGUCUGAGGCUUGUCUCAGCUCCAUGAAGCUGAACAGAUAAAUCUGUCCAUUCUGGGCUUCAGGAUUAGGAAUUCCGCUUGCUCUAAUUUAUGCCACACAUUCUCCACUGUCAGUUUUUAUCAGUGAAAAGAUGACGCAGCGUUUCUCUGUAAGUUGACUCUUUAGUUUUAUUUCUCAAUUAAUUCAGAAGUGGGCAGGGAUGGUAGCUUUAUUAUUGGACUUCCUUAAGGAGUCAAGAGAACAGCCCUGAUGCUGGCCUUGACAUUAUUGAGCCAUUGAACUAACGCCAGCAACCGCCUACCUCUAGAUUACCUGAUACGUGAGCAGGAUAAAGCCCGGCUUGUUUAGUUCAGGGAUGCGCAUCGGGCUUUCUGAUACGGGUUCAUCAUGGCACCAUUAAAUCCAGCCCUCCAGAGAGGACAGGGCUGAAGAUUGGGGUUUGGGGCCAUGGGUGUUUAGAUGGAAGUGGAAGUUGUAAUAUCAGGUGUUGUGGGAGCACAGAGGAGGAGCACCGUGGAGAGUCAGGGAAGUCUUCCUGAAGGAAUGGUCAUCUUAGCCAUCAGAUUGAGAAGAGAGCAGAUAUAUUGGAAUAAGAGA